rfam:Selenihalanaerobacter shriftii strain ATCC BAA-73 genome assembly, contig: EI55DRAFT_scaffold00003.3
AUAAUAUUUUAUUAAAUAGGUGAUUUAUUGGCUGUGUAGGAAAAUUAUUCAAACCAAUAAGUUUAAAAGGGAAGUUUGGAUGAGGUAAGUUUAUUAAUCCCUCGUUACAACACGGUCCCGCCACUGUAAGCGAUAGAAGAUUUACUCUAUUUAUAUACCACCUGAUUAUUAUUUAAAUAAUUAGGGAAGGUUAGAAUAAAUUUAUCGUGAGUCAGGAAACCUGCCUAUUUAAGUAGUAAAUU